AUCGAAGACGUGCUCCUCUCACAAAACCCUAACCCUAAUGGGGAUCACUCUGAGUGAAGCAGUAAUUAGAGUUACACUCACACUACUCCUACUUAGUGUAACCACAUCCUCUGCCUCUAGAGAACUCAAACCAGUGCCCUAUGGUAAUGGCCAUGGAAUUGGUACCGGUUCUCAAGCAGCCUGGCAACUCGUCCAUGAGCAUGGUGUGGUAGAAGAUCAUGUUGCGGGCAUCGGUGCCGGCUACGGUAGCGGCGGUGGCAGUGGAUAUGGAGGUGGUGGAGAGCAUGGUGGGGGCUAUGGCAGCGGAGGCGGCGGCGGCGGUGGUUCUGGUGGAGGUUAUGCGGUGGGAGGAGAAUCUGGGUAUGUUGGACAUGGUGGCGGUAGUGGAGGAGGGGCCGGAUAUGGAGCUGGAGGUGAACAUGGGGGUGGAUACGGUGGCGGUGGCGGUAUGGGUGGAGGUGCUGGAUAUGGUGGAGAACAUGGUGGUGGCUAUGGUGGUGGUGGUGGUGCGGGUGGUGGGUAUGGAGCUGGAGCUGGAGGAGAGCAUGGUGGCGGCUAUGGUAGUGGUGGUGGUAUGGGUGGUGGGUAUGGAGCUGGAGCUGGAGGAGAGCAUGGUGGCGGCUAUGGUAGUGGUGGUGGUAU
rnacentral:misc_RNA from 1 species